GUCUAAUAUUCCCUUUCUCCAUGUUGGAGAAAGGAUUGGAGAAGUUCUGUGGAUUUUACCCUGGGCUGAAGUCAAAUGUCUCUAUGGAACAUAAUAAUGUAGAAUCUGAAACAAAUUGGAGGGGUGUUGUGUCUCUAGGUGGCAUAAAGUGGCUGCUCUGAUGGAUCACCCCAUAAACUGCUUUGCCCUCAUCAGAAGGUUCUCUGGGCUGUUGUAGCAUUGCCUUAGGGAAGUGUCCAUUAAUCUUGGCAGAACACUGGAAUUGUGUGGGUGACAAAGAUGUUCAGAAAUCAUGAUGCCGGAUAAAAAUGCAGUUGUCUUCCAGAACACAUCAUCAAUUUGUCUUUGAGAGAUUAGCUAUAAGGAGAGAACUAGAAAUAGGAAGGAGAAAAGAGCAUAACACCCCAAACCAGCUGGGUGAGUCAACCUGGAAAUACAGAUCUGGUCUCAGUAGGACCAACCAGCCCUUUGUUUUUGGAGUUCUUGAAGAAUUGCACAUAGAAAUGCUGCACAGGCUGUCAGUGAUGCCAGGCAAGCUUCAGAGGAUGUAAGGAGUCAGGUUACAUUUCUGAUGCCAGUUGCCCCCCCCCGGACUUAUCUUGUACAAAUAGCUGCUUUUGAGGUUAGCAUUGAACUGAUGUUUGCUACAGAGGCUGAGGCUAUUUUCAAGAGUGAUCACAAGCAGGAGAGUGGCUCUGCAGAUGAUUCAGUAGGGACACGGUUCUUGUCACCGUGGCUGUCUUCUGCUCUGGGAAUCCCAAGUCUGAACUUGAUAUUUCUGUCGUGUCCUGCUUUGAAGGACCUCUACAGUCAUUCUGGAGUGAUUUAUGGUGGCAGCUUUUCUCCAGAAAACAAAGCCAUUUCAUCCCAAUGGCUGAUUUCCUGCAAGGUUUGAAAACUCAUGACACCAAAGGAGAGGGUUUUCUGUCCAGAGAAACAAACAUCAGAUUCCAUACAGCAACCAGAGAGCAAGAGUUAAACCAUGCAAAUGACUCUAAUAAGCAUAAUUUAAACCCAUGGUUUUCUCUUUAUGGCAGUUUCAUAUUCUGUGUUUUAUGUUCUAAUUUUCCACCUUUUAGUCUUGCUUCUUUCUUUUUUGCUGCAAAGCCGUAUCUCAAAUGGGAGGGCAAUUACUAGGCAAGCAUGUAGUUCUUUAAUUGAAACACUUAUAGGUGUACACUUAAAAACUAUAAAGACUUUUAUGGAAUAGCAAUGCCUUAAUAGGCUCUUGUGUAUGUACAUUGUAAUCUAAUUCUUUACUCUUUCAGCAUUGCUAGGAGAAGCUCUUAAUUUACGGUUACAAUGAGCAAUAAAGCAAUAAUAGUAAUCUAAA